UUCAGAAAUCGUUGCAAUGAUCAAAGAAUUGUUGGAGACUCACAUCCGACCAGCAGUGCAAGAUGAUGGUGGCGACAUUGAGUAUAGGGGAUUUGAUCCUGUUGCCGUUCCAGCUGCCCUUCAUCCUUCUUCUCAUCGCACGGGUUUAGCUAUUUCUAGGUUUCGUAAAAAAAGAGGAAGAUCGAAGGAAAAAGAAUUAGAGUAAUCAAAUGUCUAAGGAAAUGGUAUGAUCUACUAAUUUCCCACAAAGAAGAGCUUGGACAACUCAUUACCUUGGAGCAAGGGAAACCUCUAAAAGAAGCCAUUGGUGAGGUGAGUUACGGGGCUGGGUUUAUUGAGUUGUAUGCUGAGGAGGCAAAACGUGUAUAUGGUGAUAUCAUACCACCAACUCUUUCUGAUCGACGGUUGUUUGUUUUGAAGCAGGUGAACUUAUAUGUUUCUUUGAAUUUUGUAUGGCCUAUAUUAA